rnacentral:rRNA from 1 species
GGCUCAGAACGAACGCUGGCGGCGUGCUUAACACAUGCAAGUCGAACGCGAAAGGGACUUCGGUCCUGAGUAAAGUGGCGCACGGGUGAGUAACGCGUAGAUAACCUGUCUUCAUGUCUGGAAUAAUACGCCGAAAGGGGUACUAAUACCGGAUAUUCUUGCUUUUCAUAAGUUAUGCAAGCAAAGGUGGCCUCUGCACAUGCUACUGCAUGAAGAGGGGUCUGCGUACCAUUAGCUAGUAGGUGGGGUAAUGGCCUACCUAGGCGACGAUGGUUAGCGGGUCUGAGAGGAUGAUCCGCCACACUGGCACUGGAACACGGGCCAGACUCCUACGGGAGGCAGCAGUGAGGAAUAUUGCGCAAUGGGGGAAACCCUGACGCAGCGACGCCGCGUGAGUGAGGAAGGCCUUCGGGUCGUAAAGCUCUGUCAAGAGGAAAGAAGUGUACAAUGGCUAAUACCUGUUGUAUUUGACGGUACCUCUAAAGGAAGCACCGGCUAACUCCGUGCCAGCCGCCGC